rnacentral:rRNA from 1 species
CCUACGGGUGGCAGCAGUGAGGAAUAUUGGUCAAUGGUCGGGAGACUGAACCAGCCAAGCCGCGUGAGGGAUGAAGGUACAGAGUAUCGUAAACCUCUUUUGUCAGGGAACAAAGGCGGGGACGUGUCCCCGGAUGAGUGUACCUGACGAAAAAGCAUCGGCUAACUCCGUGCCAGCAGCCGCGGUAAUACGGAGGAUGCGAGCGUUAUCCGGAUUUAUUGGGUUUAAAGGGUGCGCAGGCGGUCUGUUAAGUCAGUGGUGAAAGCCCGAGGCUCAACUCCGGCCCGGCCUUUGAAAUGGGCAGUCUCGAGUUGGAGAGAGGUAGGCGGAAUGCGCGGUGUAGCGGUGAAAUGCAUAGAUAUCGCGCAAACCUCCGAUUGCGAAGGCAGCAUGCCGGCUCCACACUGACGCUGAGGCACGAAAGCGUGGGUAUCGAACAGGAUUAGAUACCCGAGUAGUC